rnacentral:lncRNA from 1 species
UUCUGUUCAAAAGGAAAUAACUCAAACGUUUUUCCAGGAACCAGUGAUGUAAACACAAAUUUAAAAUCUGCAUAUCAAAGAACCUAAAAAAAUCAGUUUUUUUAUGAAAUUUGACCCUUUGGGCCUCAAUGUCGUAUAAUAUAGUUAACAAGAGUGCACACACUUAAAUGUCUCGCUUUCUUUACUAAUCACUGAUAUUUUGUUGAUAUUCCUAAAUAUAAAGCUUUAUUACUAUCACAUAAAAUUAACUUGAUAAACUGAUGGGAAAAUACAUGUACACCUUACAAUCAUUCAAUACCCUUAAUAUAGUUGACCUAUUUCUUAAAGUUUUUAAGAAACAGACUUAAAGAAGAAAACUAAACAUUGACCAAUGAACCAGAAAAAUUAGAUCCAGGUCAGAUGAAACAUACCAGGCAGACCUAACAUUUCUUAAAUUUACCAAAUAUACUACACCUAUUGCUAUGGUAUCUGAGAUAUGAACUCGACCACCCAAACCUUAACCUUGUUCACUGAUCUAUGAAAUAAGGUCGAGAUUAAGUGAAAACUGUCUUACUGCCAUAAAGACCUUGCAAGGUACGCACAUACCAAAUUUAGUUGUUCUAUUACUCAUGAUCAGAAAAUUAUCUUAACAUUUUUUUUCAAGUAGUCACUGAACCAUAAAAAUGAGGUCAAGGAUAAUGGUCAGACGGAA